CCUGCUUUUCUUGGUGGGCACUGGCAGAGGGAAAGAGUCCCGUCCCCCUAAGGGACAUGUCUUUAGUGCCAGUGGCUUCCAGUCCACUGGUUCGCUACUCAAGCCUCAGGACACCA